GGCCUUGUGGCUCAGCUGGUAGAGCGUGCGCGUACCAAGCGUAGGCGGCGUCCAUGCGUGGGUUCGAAUCCGACCGAGGAUA
rfam:Echinostoma caproni strain Egypt genome assembly, scaffold: ECPE_scaffold0016775